AUUCCAGCUCCAAUAGCGUAUAUUAAAGUUGUUGCAGUUAAAAAGCUCGUAGUUGGAUUUCUGGUAGAAGUAGCGACCUUGGGUCUUUGACCUAUGAAGUUGCUAUCUUCAACCAUCCUUGAAGAGAUUUAGUUUGGCAUUAAGUUGUCGAACUAAAGAUAUUCAUCUUUUACUGUGAAAAAAUCAGAACGUUCAAAGUAAGCAUUUAGCUUUGAAUGUAUUAGCAUGGAAUAAUGAAAUAGGACUUAGGUACUACUUUGUUGGUUUAUGCACCUAGGUAAUGAUUAAUAGGGAUAGUUGGGGGUAUUCGUAUUCCAAUGUUAGAGGUGAAAUUCUUGGAUUUUUGGAAGACGAACAACUGCGAAAGCAUUUACCAAGGAUGUUUUCAUCG
rnacentral:rRNA from 1 species